rnacentral:rRNA from 1 species
AUUGAACGCUGGCGUCAGGCUUAACACAUGCAAGUCGAGCGGGGUGAUGGUGCUUGCACUAUCACUUAGCGGCGGACGGGUGAGUAAUGCUUAGGAAUCUGCCUAUUAGUGGGGGACAACAUUUCGAAAGGAAUGCUAAUACCGCAUACGUCCUACGGGAGAAAGCAGGGGGUCUUCGGACCUUGCGCUAAUAGAUGAGCCUAAGUCGGAUUAGCUAGUUGGUGGGGUAAAGGCCUACCAAGGCGACGAUCUGUAGCGGGUCUGAGAGGAUGAUCCGCCACACUGGGACUGAGACACGGCCCAGACUCCUACGGGAGGCAGCAGUGGGGAAUAUUGGACAAUGGGCGGAAGCCUGAUCCAGCCAUGCCGCGUGUGUGAAGAAGGCCUUAUGGUUGUAAAGCACUUUAAGCGAGGAGGAGGCUACUUUAGUUAAUACCUAGAGAUAGUGGACGUUACUCGCAGAAUAAGCACCGGCUAACUCUGUGCCAGCAGCCGCAGUAACAC